rnacentral:rRNA from 1 species
GGAGUUUGGUCCGUGUCUCAGUACCAAUGUGGGGGACCUUCCUCUCAGAACCCCUACUGAUCGAUGGCUUGGUGGGCCGUUACCCCGCCAACAACCUAAUCAGACGCAUCCCCAUCCCUGAGCGAUUAAUCUUUGGUCAGAUUCAGAUGUCUUCGUCUGACAACAUAGAGUAUUAAUCCGACUUUCGCCGGGCUAUCCUCUACUCAGGGGAAGGUUGGAUACGCGUUACUCACCCGUGCGCCGGUCGCCAUCAAGAUCAGCAAGCUGAUCUCAUGCUGCCCCUCGACUUGCAUGUGUUAAGCCUGUAGCUAGCGUUCAUCCUGAGCCAGGAUCAAACUCA